rnacentral:rRNA from 1 species
GGGGAAUAUUGCACAAUGGGCGAAAGCCUGAUGCAGCAACGCCGCGUGAGUGAUGAAGGUCUUCGGAUUGUAAAGCUCUGUCUUUUGGGACGAUAAUGACGGUACCAAAGGAGGAAGCCACGGCUAACUACGUGCCAGCAGCCGCGGUAAUACGUAGGUGGCGAGCGUUGUCCGGAUUUACUGGGCGUAAAGGGUGCGUAGGCGGAUGUUUAAGUGAGAUGUGAAAUACCCGGGCUUAACUUGGGUGCUGCAUUUCAAACUGGAUAUCUAGAGUGCAGGAGAGGAGAAUGGAAUUCCUAGUGUAGCGGUGAAAUGCGUAGAGAUUAGGAAGAACACCAGUGGCGAAGGCGAUUCUCUGGACUGUAACUGACGCUGAGGCACGAAAGCGUGGGUAGCAAACAGGAUUAGAUACCCUGGUAGUCCACGCCGUAAACGAUGAGUACUAGGUGUAGGAGGUAUCGACCCCUUCUGUGCCGCAGUAAACACAUU